GCGAAAAAUAAUGGAUUUGCCUGAACGAAUGCAUGUAUGCUAACGAAUGUUUAAACAGCCCAGAAAAUCUCUAAAGAUAGGCGAAAAACAUACAUGGUUAACCGAAUGUACACAGGAUUGUGACAUGACAUGCCUCCCAUAACAUGCAGUUAGACACAUGCGACACGGGACGGUCGUUCAACACGUCAAUUCUAUGAUGAAGCCAAAUGUGUGCGGAACAUUCUUACGACAUGUCGUAGCUAUGAUGAGACCCGACAAAUGCGAAACUAUUGCGUUAUCUGCUUUUGUUAUGAUCUGUCCUGACGUGUGUAGGAUCAUAGUAAGUCAUAGUGUUUUUAUGACCUGGAUAGAAGCGUGGAGGACGCUUGCUCGACAUAUCAUAGCUGGGAUGCAGACUAACAGGAUGUUAUUUAAAAUUUCUCUAAUGCUGUAUGUUAUUCAAAGCUGCGCAUGUGUGGACCUAGUCUACGUAGUUGAAGAAAACCAAAUUCCAGGAACAUAUCUUGGAAAUAUUGCUGAAGAUUCACACAUUCUGAAGAAGUUAUCUGUAAAAGACAGGAGCCAGGUUCGAUUCAGUUUAUUACAAGAAGCAAGUGAAAAUUUAUCAUUGUUUAAUGUAACGGAGUUUAGUGGAAAACUCUAUACGACCAGGGUAUUAGAUGCUGAAGUUUUAUGCGAACCGAAUAUAGAAUGUUUCUUAAUGCUCAACAUAGCAAUGAAGCGAGGUCAAUUAUAUAUGGAAAUAUUGAAGGUCAAACUUGUUGUACUGGAUAUCAAUGAUUGCAGGCCUGAGUUCAUUGUCAAAGAGAUAAACAUUAGCUUCUCUGAAGGAGAUCGAAAAGGGACUCGUAAAUCCAUCCCCAGUGCAAUCGACAGAGAUAUUAGUGCGCUAAACUCCAAGAUUACCUAUCAUUUACGUAACGCUACUGACAAACCUUUCUCUCUCUCCAUGGUAAAUAUUCAGAAUGGAACAGAUGAGAUAUACAUAACUGUUAAAGAAAAACUUGACAGGGAAACAAUAGACACAUAUCAUCUUGAGGUGGUCGCUGAAGAUGGUGGCCGACCCCCAAUUCUUUCGUAUCUUCAGGUUCAAAUUACAGUUACCGAUGAAAAUGAUAAUACUCCUAUUUUUCUCCCAGAUGCUUAUAAUGUCUCAAUCAAUAGAGUUGUAUUUCCUGGAGAAUUAAUUGUCAAACUAUCAGCUUCUGAUACCGACAUAGGUAAAAAUGGUCAGAUUUCAUAUUAUUUCACAUCGCAGACUUCCACUAGAACGAAAUAUUACUUCACUUUAAACAAAACAACUGGCAUCAUUUACCUAAGAAAGAAGUUGGUACCAAAUAAAAGCAUAGAUUUUAAGUUAUUCGUCAAAGCAGUGGACAGUGGUCAGCCUCACCUUAGUGCCUUUGCUGAUGUGUUAGUUAAUGUUGUAAACACAGAGAACCACGCGCCCCAAAUAUUGGUUAACUUGGGUUCUUCAUCAUCUAACACAGCAGUUAUUUCAGAAUCGAUCAAAGUAGGGAGUUUCAUUGGUUAUGUUGAAGUGAAAGACAACGACAGCGGUUCCAACGGAGAAGUAAUCUGUACACUUCGUAAUCAGAGAUUUUACCUUCAUAACCUCGGUGAGAAAAAAUACAAAAUAAAAGUUAAAAAUCCAAUCGACCGCGAAUCCAAGGCCAGCCAUAACAUCACAAUAGCUUGCAAGGACAAAGGUAUGCCUCCUUUGUGGGUGAAGAGCAAGUUUUAUAUUCGAGUUAUUGACGUAAACGAUGUACCUCCAAGAUUUUCCCAAAAAUCUUUUAAAUUUUGGACCUAUGAGAACCAGGACAGAAACUUUCCAGUUGGUUUUGUUAAUGCUUCAGAUCCAGACAUGGGAGCCGGGGGUGAACUCUCUUACUCGUUGAUGAAUCUGAAUGGAACUUUCUCGCCUUUUCAGAUCACUAAUUACGGGUACAUUUCUACAAGAGUGCCACUGGAUCGUGAACAGCAAGAAAUCUAUCAUCUGCGUGUUUUCGUCAAGGACCACGGGGUACUUUCGCUAAACAAUACAGUUAGUGUCACUGUCGAAGUAAUGGAUGAAAACGACAAUGUGCCCUGUUUUACCUUCCCAGAUGUUAACCCCUUUCUUAUGAAUGUUAAUUAUCAUCCACAGAAUGGUAGAAACAUCACAAUUCUCAGAGCCAUUGACAAAGACAUCGGGAAGAACGCCUUCUUAACAUAUGAAAUAACUGAAGGAAAUACACGAAAACUAUUCAUACUAAAUCAUAAAAAUGGUCAAUUAUCUUUUAAUCGAGUUCCUUUCGAAAAGGAUGCUGGGAUACAUAACCUACAGAUUCGAGUCAGAGACAGUGGAAUUCCUGUGUUACAUGCAGUGACAAACCUAUCAUUAAUAUUAUCAAUUGGCAACGCCGCAUCCAAAACAUUAACAGCGGUGCAAAUCGGUACAACUGUCAGGAUUCAUAAAAAUCUGUUUAUCGUCAUAAUCUUGGUGGUUAUGAUUGCUUCGGUUUGUGUAGUGGUGUUGAUCACAACAUGUCUGAUACGCAGAAAUGACCGUGGGAGAAAUUCACGCGUUGACAAAGCAACUGCGAGAAACAGACGUCGAGAAGGAAAAUGCUUCAAAUGCUUGCCUAUGACAGCUGUAUCACAAAUCGACAUAACUCUGCCUGAGGUGACCAACAACCGCAAUACAUGGAGUGUACAACUUACUGAAUCUUGUGUUGAUCUCGACACCGAAAACGAAACAGACAACAACGACUGUGAUUCACAUCCAUUACAUGUCCAGGCAUCAGUUCCAGCAAUGCAAGACGGUCAGUUGCCAUCCAGUAUUGCGUGCACAGACAAACCAAAACCAACACCUCGCAGUCGAAGGGUUGACCUCAAAUCUCCUGUAAAUAAUUCAAUGACGCAAACAGCACAGCAGUGUCAAACUUAGAUGCCGGACCAAAUUUUCAAAGACUCAGUCUUCGAGAAACACGAUUCCAAUCAUAUAAAAUAUAAAAAACAAAAUCCAUUCAGAAACAUGCCACGAGACAACAGAAAGGGAUGGCACGAAAGACACCGAACGUUUGGCUAUGAGAACAAUGCAUGUAUAUGCUUUUAUCUGCGACGUCUGAAACACUAUAACGAUCUCAAGGAACUCGUUAAAUUCAGUUUCGUUAUAACAAAAUGAUUAUCAUGUUAUUAUGUAAGUUGCGGUAGAAGUAAUUUCAGCAGAUAAUUUUCUAUUUCGUUAAUCUUAUAAUCCCAAAUUGUAAAACUGACUACUCAGGAUUCUUGGCAUGACUCAGUUACGUCGUAACUCUCAGACCUAACAAUAAUCGUUUCUCAUUUAACUCUUUGACUGUCCAAAGCAUUUUUAUAAGUUUGUCCUAAACGUCCGUGCUUGUUUCCUGACUUUUAGUUUGCUCUUGUUUCAUAUGUUCUGCGUAAUAUAAAACUUUACUUUCAUAAGUCUCGAGUUAUCCUGUUAGAUGAAAAGAAACUGGGAAUGUGUAUCAUAUAUGAUGCAUAGACACCAAGGAAAUAUAUUCUGUAUAUCACAUGUAAUAUACAGGACAGGCAAAGAGUUUAACACAAUGCCAGCAAAUUUGAGAGCAGAGUUUAGUCAGUAUCAUCGACUCCAGUACUUUACUGGUGCUUUGUCGUACGGACCAAAUUGCAGUGUUGACUUCGAUUGAAGAGCUAGAACAAUUACUGCAAGGCAUUUUCUCAACGCUCUAACGAUCCAGCCAGGCUGCCGCUGUUGAGAGAAUAUAUUAUUUGGAGACACCAUCUGCAUGAGAAACAAUAAUCGAAUUACUGUUCACACAUUUAACGUGGAGAGCAUUAAGGCCUAACUAGAUAUAAAACAUAUCGCAGAUCAACAAUUAGCCUAAGAUUAUUAUUACUUUUGGUGAUAAUUGCGGAUUAUAUAUUUCAGUUCUAGUCUCACCUCAUCAAUUAAGCAUAGACUUCAGCAUAAUUACUACUUGGGGUUCAUUAUAAAGUCCUUGAGCAAUUUCAGAUUUGCAUAAUUUUCGUUUUAUAUUCGGUAAAAUUCACCCCCGAAAAGGAUAAAGAAACGCGUUAUAACGUUUAAAAUAAAUUUUAAUUAUAGAAAUCUUGAUGCUUCUGAGAUUCUUAGAAUACGGUUUUUGAUGUUGAUUUUCAGUUAUAUAUAGUCACAGAGAUAGGAAGGAGC
rnacentral:misc_RNA from 1 species